CCCUUAGAUGUUCUGGGCCGCACGCGCGCUACACUGACUACUUCAACGAGUUGUUUCCUUGAUCGAAAGGUCUGGGUAAUCUUUGAAAGGUAGUCGUGAUGGGGAUAGAUCCUUGCAAUUUUUGAUCUUCAACGAGGAAUUCCUAGUAAACACAAGUCAUCAGCUUGCAUUGAUUACGUCCCUGCCCUUUGUACACACCGCCCGUCGCACCUACCGAUUGAAUGGUCCGGUGAAUCUUUAGGACUGUGGCUGAGGCCUUGCCUUGUGCGGGUCUGGCCGUGGGAAUUUAGUUAAACCUUACCAUUUAGAGGAAGGUGAAGUCGUAACA
rnacentral:rRNA from 1 species